rnacentral:rRNA from 1 species
GACGAACGCUGGCGGCGUGCUUAACACAUGCAAGUCGAACGGUGAAGGGGUCUGCUUUUGUGGGCCCUGGAUGAGUGGCGAACGGGUGAGUAACACAUGAGUAACCUGCCCCCUUCUUCUGGAUAACCGCAUGAAAGUGUGGCUAAUACGGGAUAUUCUGGGUCUGUCGCAUGAUGGGUCUGGGAAAGAUUGCGCCUUUGGGUGUUUUUGGUGGGGGAUGGGCUCGCGGCCUAUCAGCUUGUUGGUGGGGUGAUGGCCUACCAAGGCGGUGACGGGUAGCCGGCCUGAGAGGGUGGACGGUCACACUGGGACUGAGACACGGCCCAGACUCCUACGGGAGGCAGCAGUGGGGAAUAUUGCACAAUGGGCGCAAGCCUGAUGCAGCGACGCCGCGUGAGGGAUGGAGGCCUUCGGGUUGUAAACCUCUUUCGCCAGUGAAGCAGGCCUGCUCCUUGUGGGUGGGUUGACGGUAGCUGGAUAAGAAGCGCCGGCUAACUACGUG